rnacentral:rRNA from 1 species
GACGGAGGGUGCAAGCGUUGUUCGGAUUGACUGGGCGUAAAGGGCGUGUAGGCGGUUGGUCAAGUCCGAUGUGAAAGCCCGGGGCUCAGCUUCGGAAGUGCAUCGGAAACUAGCCAGCUGGAGCGCGAUAGAGGGGGGCGGAAUUCCUGGUGUAGCGGUGAAAUGCGUAGAUAUCAGGAGGAACACCGGCGGCGAAGGCGGCCCUCUGGAUCGUUGCUGACGCUGAGACGCGAAAGCGUGGGGAGCAAACAGG